CGACACAUGACCCUAUAGGCGUGGUCUUUUCUCCGCCGAGUUUGAGGUUAGUUUGGGACGGAUGACCAUCGAUCAUUUUGAGAAGACAAGCCAGCGCAUGAGCUCUGAUCAGAGGAGUCGGAGUGCGUCAAAAGUUGUUUCGAGAUGGUUAAAGAUAUAAUCGUAUUUGCUGAUGUACAUGCACCCUUUGACGAUGACUUUAGUGGAGUUUAUCUAACACAAUCAGACUACGAUCUCGUGGCCGCGGCCACUAGAAAAAACGAACCGCCGACAC